AACGAACGCUGGCGGCAUGCCUAACACAUGCAAGUCGAACGAACCCUUCGGGGUUAGUGGCGCACGGGUGCGUAACGCGUGGGAAUCUGCCCUUUGCUUCGGAAUGACAGUUAGAAAUGACUGCUAAUACCGGAUGAUGUCUUCGGACCAAAGAUUUAUCGGCAAAGGAUGAGCCCGCGUAGGAUUAGGUAGUUGGUGGGGUAAAGGCCUACCAAGCCGACGAUCCUUAGCUGGUCUGAGAGGAUGAUCAGCCACACUGGGACUGAGACACGGCCCAGACUCCUACGGGAGGCAGCAGUGGGGAAUAUUGGACAAUGGGCGAAAGCCUGAUCCAGCAAUGCCGCGUGAGUGAUGAAGGCCUUAGGGUCGUAAAGCUCUUUUACCCGGGAUGAUAAUGACAGUACCGGGAGAAUAAGCCCCGGCUAACUCCGUGCCAGCAGCCGCGGUAAUACGGAGGGGGCUAGCGUUGUUCGGAAUUACUGGGCGUAAAGCGUACGUAGGCGGUUAUUCAAGUCAGAGGUGAAAGCCCGGGGCUCAACCCCGGAACGGCCUUUGAAACUAGGUAGCUAGAGUCUUGGAGAGGUCAGUGGAAUUCCGAGUGUAGAGGUGAAAUUCGUAGAUAUUCGGAAGAACACCAGUGGCGAAGGCGACUGACUGG
rnacentral:rRNA from 1 species